AGAGUUUGAUCCUGGCUCAGGACGAACGCUGGCGGCGUGCUUAACACAUGCAAGUCGAACGGAAAGGCCCCUUCGGGGGUACUCGAGUGGCGAACGGGUGAGUAACACGUGAGUAACCUGCCCUUGACUUCGGGAUAACUUCAGGAAACUGGGGCUAAUACCGGAUAGGAAUCCUUGCUGCAUGGUGGGGGUUGGAAAGCUUCGGCGGUUUUGGAUGGACUCGCGGCUUAUCAGCUUGUUGGUGGGGUAGUGGCUUACCAAGGCUUUGACGGGUAGCCGGCCUGAGAGGGCGACCGGCCACAUUGGGACUGAGAUACGGCCCAGACUCCUACGGGAGGCAGCAGUGGGGAAUAUUGCACAAUGGGCGGAAGCCUGAUGCAGCAACGCCGCGUGCGGGAUGACGGCCUUCGGGUUGUAAACCGCUUUCAGCAGGGGCGAAGCUUGUGGUGACGGUACCUGCAGAAGAAGCACCGGCUAACUACGUGCCAGCAGCCGCGGUGAUACGUAGGGUGCGAGCGUUGUCCGGAUUUAUUGGGCGUAAAGAGCUCGUAGGUGGUUGAUUGCGUCGGAAGUGAAAACUUGGGGCUUAACCCUGAGCGUGCUUUCGAUACGGGUUGACUUGAGGAAGGUAGGGGAGAAUGGAAUUCCUGGUGGAGCGGUGGAAUGCGCAGAUAUCAGGAGGAACACCAGUGGCGAAGGCGGUUCUCUGGACCUUUCCUGACGCUGAGGAGCGAAAGCGUGGGGAGCGAACAGGCUUAGAUACCCUGGUAGUCCACGCUGUAAACGGUGGGUACUAGGUGUGGGGUCCAUUCCACGGAUUCCGUGCCGUAGCUAACGCAUUAAGUACCCCGCCUGGGGAGUACGGCCGCAAGGCUAAAACUCAAAGGAAUUGACGGGGCCCCGCACAAGCGGCGGAGCAUGCGGAUUAAUUCGAUGCAACGCGAAGAACCUUACCUGGGUUUGACAUGGACUGGGAGUGCUCAGAGAUGGGUAUGCCUCCUUGUGGGGCUGGUUCACAGGUGGUGCAUGGCUGUCGUCAGCUCGUGUCGUGAGAUGUUGGGUUAAGUCCCGCAACGAGCGCAACCC
rnacentral:rRNA from 1 species